ACUCCAAACCCCUGUGAACAUACCAAUUGUUGCCUCGGCGGAUCAGCCCGCUCCCGGUAAAACGGGACGGCCCGCCAGAGGACCCCUAAACUCUGUUUCUAUAUGUAACUUCUGAGUAAAACCAUAAAUAAAUCAAAACUUUCAACAACGGAUCUCUUGGUUCUGGCAUCGAUGAAGAACGCAGCAAAAUGCGAUAAGUAAUGUGAAUUGCAGAAUUCAGUGAAUCAUCGAAUCUUUGAACGCACAUUGCGCCCGCCAGUAUUCUGGCGGGCAUGCCUGUUCGAGCGUCAUUUCAACCCUCAAGCCCCCGGGUUUGGUGUUGGGGAUCGGCGAGCCCUUGCGGCAAGCCGGCCCCGAAAUCUAGUGGCGGUCUCGCUGCAGCUUCCAUUGCGUAGUAGUAAAACCCUCGCAACUGGUACGCGGCGCGGCCAAGCCGUUAAACCCCCAACUUCUGAAUGUUGACCUCGGAUCAGGUAGGAAUACCCGCUGAACUUAAGCAUAUCAUA
rnacentral:rRNA from 1 species